GACGAACGCUGCGGCGUGCUUCACACAUGCAAGUCGAACGGAAAGGCCCUGCUUUUGUGGGGUGCUCGAGUGGCGAACGGGUGAGUAACACGUGAGUAACCUGCCCUUGACUUUGGGAUAACUUCAGGAAACUGGGGCUAAUACCGGAUAGGAGCUCCUGCUGCAUGGUGGGGGUUGGAAAGUUUCGGCGGUUGGGGAUGGACUCGCGGCUUAUCAGCUUGGUGGUGGGGUAGUGGCUUACCAAGGCUUUGACGGGUAGCCGGCCUGAGAGGGUGACCGGCAACAUUGGGACUGAGAUACGGCCCAGACUCCUACGGGAGGCAGCAGUGGGGAAUAUUGCACAAUGGGCGGAAGCCUGAUGCAGCAACGCCGCGUGCGGGAUGACGGCCUUCGGGUUGUAAACCGCUUUCGCCUGUGACGAAGCGUGAGUGACGGUAAUGGGUAAAGAAGCACCGGCUAACUACGUG
rnacentral:rRNA from 1 species